ACCGAGCAGCGCUGCCGCCCCUGCCCUCCCCCCCGAUCGGAGCAACGCCACGGCCACCAUCCUCCCCCCGACCGGAGCAGUGCCUCUGCAAUCAGGAGCUUGCCAUCAACAAUUGGCUGGUCUUGCAGCUUGUCACGUGAAUGUGGAACUGAGGAAGGUCUGGAACUGGAUCAAAAACCCCCUGUUCCUGAUAAUCGACGAACCGGAAGAUGCUCCACUAUUAGAGGAGAACAAAGGAUAGAUCCUAUUUGUGAUUUAUGGUCUUACAGUGCAGAGGUAAUUAAGGUAGUAAAUAUGUGGCUGAGUGCAACAUCACCUGUGUACAUCUCAUGUAAGUUGCAUUUUCUAGCGCAAAUGAUUUAUGGUUGUGUGGAUUGAUUUGUUUUUGCGAUAAAAUAGAUGAAUGGCUGUAGAAUAUUUGGAUGA